rnacentral:rRNA from 1 species
UACGUACUGCGCGAACGUUAUUCGGAAUCACUGGGCUUACAGGGUGCGUAGGCGGCUUUUCAGGUCUGGUGUGAAAUCCCCCGGCUCAACCGGGGAAUGGCAUUGGAAACCGAAAGGCUUGAGGUAGCUAGAGGCAUGCGGAACUUCCGGUGGAGCGGUGAAAUGUGUUGAGAUCGGAAGGAACACCAGAGGCGAAAGCGGCAUGCUGGGGCUAUUCUGACGCUGAGGCACGAAAGCCAGGGGAGCGAACGGGAUUAGAAACCCUAGUAG